UGUGAAUAAUCGUUUGUACCGUAGACAGCAGGGGCGGCCCGCCGCUUAAAUGAUCCCUGCCGAGGACAGAAGCUAUCAACCCUUGAUCGGUUUGAGAUGCCAAUUUCCAGCUCCGUGUCUACAUUUAUGUGGAACGGAGCUUUUUAUUUGCGGUA
rfam:Edaphobacillus lindanitolerans strain MNA4 genome assembly, contig: Ga0116976_13